GAUGAACGCUGGCGGCGUGCCUAAUACAUGCAAGUCCAGCGAACAGACGAGGAGCUUGCUCCUCUGACGCUAGCGGCGGACGGGUGAGUAACACGUGGAUAACCUACCUAUAAGACUGGGAUAACUUCGGGAAACCGGAGCUAAUACCGGAUAAUAUAUUGAACCGCAUGGUUCAAUAGUGAAAGACGGUUUUGCUGUCACUUAUAGAUGGAUCCGCGCCGCAUUAGCUAGUUGGUAAGGUAACGGCUUACCAAGGCAACGAUGCGUAGCCGACCUGAGAGGGUGAUCGGCCACACUGGAACUGAGACACGGUCCAGACUCCUACGGGAGGCAGCAGUAUGGAAUCUUCCGCAAUGGGCGAAAGCCUGACGGAGCAACGCCGCGUGAGUGAUGAUGGUCUUCGGAUCGUAAAACUCUGUUAUUAGGGAAGAACAAAUGUGUAAGUAACUAUGCACGUCUUGACGGUACCUAAUCAGAAAGCCACGGCUAACUACGUG
rnacentral:rRNA from 1 species